rnacentral:rRNA from 1 species
CACGGGGGGAGCAAGCGUUGUUCGGAAUCACUGGGCGUAAAGGGCGUGUAGGCGGUCAGGUAAGUGGGACGUGAAAUGCCUCGGCUCACCCGAGGAGCGGCGUCCCAUACUGCUUGGCUUGAGUACGGGAGAGGAUGUGGGAAUUCCUGGUGUAGCGGUGAAAUGCGUAGAUAUCUGGAGGAACACCGGUGGCGAAGGCGGCAUCCUGGACCGGUAUUGACGCUGAGGCGCGAAAGCCAGGGGAGCAAACGGG